GGUUCCGCCCCGGGGGCGCCGGGAGACCUGAGGUCCCGAAGUGGCGGGCUGUUGCCUGUGGAGGGAUAACAAGUUUCUCUUCGUUUAUAAGGAAUGUGAUUAGCGCUUCAUAAGUUAAUUAGCUGCUCUGCGCCUCAGUUUCCCCAUCUGAGGAAAGGUUCUUCCUCCAACGCUCCUACUGCCAGUGUGGCACCGAACACGGUUCUGAGGAGAAAUGAGAAUGCCCAAGGGAAAGCGGCACUUACUGAGUUCCAAGUGAGCCCCUUGCACGAGACUGCAGUAAAAAUGGACUGCAUAAUGGGAUUCACUCAAAAACAUAUGGACCAAAUUAAUAUAUGAUAAAGGAGCCAGGGAAACACAAUGGGGAAACAGCCUCUUCAACGGCUGGUGUUGGCAAAACUGGACAGCUACAUGUAAGAGAAUGAAACUGGAUUAUUGUUUAACCCCAUACACAAAAGUAAACUCAAAAUGGAUUAAAGACUUGAAUGUAAGUCAUGAAACCAUAAAACUCUUAGAAUACAACAUAGGCAAACAUCUCCUGAAUAUAAGCAUGAGCAACUUCUUCCUGAACACAUCUCCUCCAGAAAGGGGAACAAAAGCAAAAAUGCACUCGUGGGACUACAUCAAACUAAAAAGUUUCUGUACGGCAAAGGACACCAUCAGUAGAACAAAAAGGCAUCCUACAGUAUGGGAGAAUAUAUUUGUAAAUGACAUAUCCGACAAGGGGUUAACAUCCAAAAUAUAUAAAGAACUUAAUGUGCCUCAACACCCAAAAAGCAAUAACCUGAUUCACAAAUGGGCAGAGGAUAUGAAGAGACAGUUCUCCAAAGAAGAAAUUCAGAUGGCCAACAGACACAUGAAAAGAUGCUCCACAUCACUAAUCAUCAGGGAAAUGCAAAUUACAACCACAAUGAGAUAUCACCUCACACAAGUAAGGAUGGCCAGCAUCAAAAAGACUAAGAACAACAAAGCUGGUGAGGAUGCAGAGAAAGGGGAACCCUCCUACACUGCUGGUAGGAAUGUAAACUAGUUCAACCAUUGUGGAAAGCAAUAUGGAGAUUCCUCAAAAAACUAAAAAUAGAAAUACCCUUUGACCUGGAAAUCCCACUCCUUGGAAUUUACCCAAAGAAUACAACUUCUCAGAUUCAAAAAGACAUACGCACCUCUAUGUUUAUCGCAGCACUUUUUACAAUAGCCAAGACAUGGAAGCAAACUAAGUGUCCAUCGGUAGAUGAAUGGAUAAAGAAGAUGUGGUACAUGUACACAAUGGAAUACUAUUCAGCCAUAAGAAAGAAAUAAAUCCUACCAUUUGCAACAUGGAUGGAGCUGGAGGACAUUAUGCUCAGUGAAAUAAGCCAGGCGGAGAAAGACAAAUGCCAAAUGAUUUCCCUCAUUUGUGGAGUAUAACAAUGAAGCAAAACUGAAGGAACAAAAUAGCAGCAGACUCAGAGACUACAAGAAUGAACUAGUGGCUACCAAAGGGGAGGGGUGUGGGAGGGCGUGUGGGGAGGGAGGGAGAAGGGGAUUGAAGGGUAUUAUGUUUAGUACACAUGGUGUGGGGGAUCAUGGGGAGAACAGUGUAGCACAGAGAAGGCACAUAGUGCAUCUGUGGCAUCUUACUACACUGAUGGACAGUGACUGCAUUGGGGUAUGGUGGGGACUUGAUAAUAUGGGUAACUAGUAACUACAUUGUUUUUUCAUGGGAAACCUUCAUAAGAGUGUAUAUCAAUCAUACCU